rnacentral:rRNA from 1 species
AUUGAACGCUGGCGGCAGGCCUAACACAUGCAAGUCGCGCGAGCGGCGGACGGGUGAGUAAUGUAUGGGGACUGCCGCUUAGAGGGGGAUCACUACUGGACACGGUAGCUACUACCGCAUACUAUCGGAUAACCCAUAUGGGAUUAGCUAGUAGGUGGGGUAAUGGCUCACCUAGGCGUCGAUACCUAGCUGGUCUGAGAGGAUGAUCAGCAACACUGGGACUGGGAAACGGCCCAGACUCCUACGGAGGCAGCAGUGGGGAAUAUUGCACAAUGGGCGCAAGCCUGAUGCAGCCAUGCCGCGUGUAUGAAGAAGGCCCUAGGGUUGUAAAGUACUUUCAGUCGGGAGGCGGUACCGACAGAAGAAGCACCGGCUAACUCCGUGCCAGCAGCCGCGGUAAUUC